AUCUAUGGCGUAACGCUCACAACAUUGAGCGCCAAAUUUGACUCAAUCCAGUUUCUCUGUCUCCGUAUUAAAAACGUCUUAUAUGUGACUACCUGUAGGGUUCUACCAAAGGUAGUACCAAAGGUAGUACCCUACACCCCGUAAAAAAUAUUUAAAAUUUCCAAAUUUCAAUAAAACUUUUUUAGAUAAUGAAAAAAACGUUGUUUUCGCGUUACACUUUGUACCCGAAUUUCCCUAAAACUCGCCCG
rnacentral:lncRNA from 1 species